UGAUUUACUAUGACCCUAACAACACACAACAUUCCAGGAAUGUACUACCAAAGUUCUAUCAAUAUUUGAAUGUCCUGGACAUUUAGGGAACAUUCGGUGAACAUCUGUUUAAAUUAUUCCUGGAAUGUUACCAUAAGACAUUCUGUGAACAUACUACCAAUGUUCCUAUAUUUUAAGUUGCGAAAUAAUACAUACGUGUAAGAGAUACAACAUUACUUAUAACAUACCAGACAAACUAAGUGACAUUUUAGGCCUACAGUGCAAUAAUAUGUCAAAUUUAAAGAGUUUCCCAAGAUUAUAAACAUACAAAUGUAAUAAAAAUUAUUGUUCGCGAAUAUUCAAUUUGGAAUGCGAUUUUGUUAAUAAAAAAAAUACUUAUAACUUAUGCAAAACCCAAGAGAGGCAUUUAUAUUUAUUUCUUUUGCGUUCAUUUUCAAAUUCGCCGUGCAUAUAUUUUUGUGCAUGGCGCUUGAGAGGGCAUCACGUGACUAAAAACGACCAACCAACGACCUCGCUUCGGCCAUCUUGGCAUCUUCAUCUUGGCGACCUUGCCUUGCCGUGGAUUGUUUUUAGUUGUUUGUAUUAUUUGUGCUUUUUAAGAAUAUUUUUUUAAUUCGGAUACUUUUAUAAUAGCUUUAAUAGUAUUAUUAACAUAGUGCAUAAAAUGGUGUCCUGUUUUUAACGCAGUUGGAGUAGCAGAAACAAAUGUAGAUAAAAAAAUCUGCAGGAAUAACGUUUCAAUUAUGACAGAAGCUCAAAACAAAUGACUGUGAAUGAAAAGCCCUAUUAAAAGCUUUCCAGAAGAUCCUGCGAAGAAGACAUGAAGUAUAGAUCAGAUUUGUUAAUAGAGGAGUAUGUUCAAAACACUUUUUAGAAAAAGAUAUUGACAGAACUUCACUUUCAUCUGUUCGUUUGAGAGACUGUGCUGUUCCAAUAGCUUAUGUCACACAGAAUCAGCUGAGAGAAGUGGUCUACAAAAAACCAGAAAGGAAACGGAAUAUGUGGCUACGAAAAGCAAAAGAAAGGUUUACAAAGCAAAUGUGACACAUUUUUUUAUAAUAUUUAGGAAUGUCAGCAAAUUACAUUAAAAAAUGUAUGUAAAGAUUUUUUGCAAUAAAAAUGUUUAUAUUUA